rnacentral:rRNA from 1 species
GACCUCGGAUCAGGCAAGAUUACCCGCUGAACUUAAGCAUAUCAAUAAGCGGAGGAAAAGAAACCAACAGGGAUUGCCUCAGUAAUGGCGAGUGAAGCGGCAAGAGCUCAAAUUUUAAAUCUGCCUUUUAGGCCGAGUUGUAAUUUGUAGAGGAACGUUCGGUGACGUCUAGGUCCGAGUCUUCUGGAAGGAAGCGCCUAUGAGGGUGAGAGCCCCGUACGACCGACGACUUAGCCAUGUGAACGUCCUUCGAAGAGUCGAGUUGUUUGGGAAUGCAGCUCAAAGCGGGUGGUAAAUUCCAUCUAAAGCUAAAUAUUGGCCAGAGACCGAUAGCGCACAAGUAGAGUGAUCGAAAGAUGAAAAGCACUUUGGAAAGAGAGUGAAAAAGUACGUGAAAUUGUUGAAAGGGAAGCGCUUGCGACCAG